AACGAACGCUGGCGGCAUGCCUAACACAUGCAAGUCGAACGAGACCUUCGGGUCUAGUGGCGCACGGGUGCGUAACGCGUGGGAACCUGCCCUUAGGUUCGGAAUCACUCCCCGAAAGGGGUGCUAAUACCGGAUAAUGUCUUAGGACCAAAGAUUUAUCGCCUUUGGGUGGGCCCGCGUUGGAUUGGCUAGUUGGUAGGGUAAAAGCCUGCCAAGGCGACGAUCCAUAGCUGGUCUGUGAGGAGGCUCAUCAACGCUGGGACUGAGGCACGGCCCAGACUCCGACGGGAGGCAGCAGUGGGGAAUAUUGGAGAAGGGGCGAAAGCCUGAUCCAGCAAUGCCGCGUGAGUGAUGAAGGCCUUAGGGUUGUAAAGCUCUUUUACCCGAGAUGAUAAUGACAGUACCGGGAGAAUAAGCUCCGGCUAACUCCGUG
rnacentral:rRNA from 1 species